UGCCAGAGCCAUAUCUCCCUGCAGCUCUUGCCUGGUUUCCCACUGAAGCUAAGCAGCGUUGAGCCUGGCCAGUACCUGGAUGGGAGAACUCCUGGGGAAAAUUAAGGUUGCUGAUGGAAG
ensembl:rRNA 5S_rRNA 5S ribosomal RNA